rnacentral:rRNA from 1 species
GAUGAACGCUGGCGGCGUGCCUAAUACAUGCAAGUCGAGCGAACAGAUAAGGAGCUUGCUCCGUGGACGUUAGCGGCGGACGGGUGAGUAACACGUGGGUAACCCACCUAUAAGACUGGGAUAACUUCGGGAAAGCGGAGCUAAUACCAGAUAAUAUUUUGCACCGCGUGGUUCGAUAGAGGGAGAUGGCUUUGCUGUCACUAAUAGAUGGACCCCGGCCGUUUUAGAUGGUUGGUGAGGUAACGGGUUUUCAAGGCGACGAUGCGUAGACGACCUGAUAGGCGGAUCGGCCACCUGAGAGCUGAGCCGCGGUCCAGACUACUGAGGUAGGCAGCAGACGGGAAUCGGCCGCAAUGGGCGAAAGCCUGACGGAGUAACCCGGCGUGAGUUAUGAAGGUCUUCGGUUCGUAAAGCUCUCUUAUUAGUUAAGAACCUCCGUGUAAGUAACCGUGGCCGUCUUGACGGUAAUUAAUCAGAAAGCCCCGGCUAACUACGUG